CCUACGGGUGGCAGCAGUGAGGAAUAUUGGUCAAUGGACGAGAGUCUGAACCAGCCAAGUAGCGUGAAGGAUGACUGCCCUAUGGGUUGUAAACUUCUUUUAUAUGGGAAUAAAACGUUCCACGUGUGGGAUUUUGUAUGUACCAUAUGAAUAAGGAUCGGCUAACUCCGUGCCAGCAGCCGCGGUAAUACGGAGGAGCCGAGCGUUAUCCGGAUUUAUUGGGUUUAAAGGGAGCGUAGGUGGAUUGUUAAGUCAGGUGUGAAAGGUUGCGGCUCAACCGUAAAACUGCAGUUGAAACUGGCAGUCUUGAGUACAGUAGAGGUGGGCGGAAUGCGUGGUGUAGCGGUGAAAUGCUUAGAUAUCACGAAGAACUCCGAUUGCGAAGGCAGUAUGCCGGCUUCCGACUGACGCUGAAGCACGAAAGCGUGGGGAUCGAACAGGAUUAGAUACCCUAGUAGUC
rnacentral:rRNA from 1 species